UGCAUUCACUACUGUAAGUCACUCUGGAUAAGAGCGUCUGCUAAAAUGACUAAAA
rfam:Salmo salar isolate Sally breed double haploid chromosome ssa19, whole genome shotgun sequence.